AUUAGAGUUUGAUCCUGGCUCAGAACGAACGCUGGCGGCGUGGAUUAGGCAUGCAAGUCGAACGCGAAAGAGGGGGUAACUCCUCGAGUAGAGUGGCGAACGGGUGAGUAACACGUGAGAUGCCUUCAGCAGGGGGAUAACACUCCCAACGGGGUGCUAAUACCGCAUGAGACCACGGGUCCGCAUGAACCUGAGGUCAAAGGUGGCCUCUGCUUGCAAGCUACCGGCCGAAGAUGGUCUCGCGUCCCAUUAGCUAGUUGGUGGGGUAAUGGCUCACCAAGGCGACGAUGGGUAGCUGGUCUGAGAGGAUGGUCAGCCACACUGGGACUGAGAUACGGCCCAGACUCCUACGGGAGGCAGCAGUCGAGAGGCUUUGGCAAUGGGGGAAACCCUGACCAAGCGACGCCGCGUGAGGGAUGAAGGCCCUUGGGUUGUAAACCUCUUUUGUCGGGGAAGAAACGCGAUCAGGUGAACAAUCUGGUCGUUUGACGGUACCCGGCGAAUAAGCUCCGGCUAACUCCGUGCCAGCAGCCGCGGUAACACGGGGGGAGCAAGCGUUGUUCGGAAUUACUGGGCGUAAAGGGUGUCUAGGCGGUCGAGUAAGUGAGAUGUGAAAUGCCCCGGCUCACCCGGGGACCGGCAUUUCAUACUGCUCGGCUCGAGUACGGGAGAGGAUGAGGGAAUUCCUGGUGUAGCGGUGAAAUGCGUAGAUAUCAGGAGGAACACCGGUGGCGAAAGCGCUCAUCUGGCCCGAUACUGACGCUGAAGCACGAAAGCUAGGGGAGCAAACGGGAUUAGAUACCCCGGUAGUCCUAGCCGUAAAACGGUGAGCACUAUGUGUUGGAGGCAUCGACCCCUCCAGUGCCGCAGCUAACGCAUUAAGUGCUCCGCCUGGGGA
rnacentral:rRNA from 1 species